GAUUCCGAAAAUUCGCGCUGGAAGAAGCUAUAAUGGGAUCAAUGUCUCUCUGCGCCACGACACAUCAUUGUGCCGUCUAACAUCACCCUUCCUUGCUGUGCAAAAUUGCAGGACAAGAUGGAUCGUCUGUGCGAACAGGCUUCUCCCGGGGUCCCCGCUGCUGGGCUCUACCUCUUUAUACACCAAGAAGAUCCUGAUGUGGGCUCUAGGACAUCAAUAUCUUCACUAAAGGAGAUUUACACCCUCCACGUUGUCACCACCCACUGCAGUGUCUCUGCAGGACACACCAUUGCAGCUGAGUGGGACCUGGCCACUAUGUGGACUGAACAAGAGAGGAAUGAAGAUGGUGGGGACGGAGGGAGGUGUGAUGGACGCGUGCCCGACACCACGCUCGUCUUACAGGAGACGCUGAAGGUGCGCCGUGCACCCCUGAAUGCUCUGCAGAUGAACGGAGAGUCUGCAGCUUGGACCACACACACUCCUGUUAAAGUCGUCGGCUUCAAGGACUCCCUUCUGAGAUGCACAGAAUCCAUAAGCUGCACUGUAGUUCUAGUGAUUCAUGUUGAACCUACACCUAUGCCUUUUUAAAAUUUAAAUGUACAAAAUGUGCUGAGCCCCUAGGCAUCUGUAUUGGAAUACAUUUCCAGUCUUCUGACAUGAAUGCCCUCAGUCUUACUGAUGGAAACAGACUGUGGGGUUGCUGUGUAAUUUCCAUUCAUAUUGUAUUAAAAUGUUCGAGAUGCAUUUUCUGUCAAAGAGAGUAUCAUUUCAUAAAAUUAUUCACUAUUCCCCCAUAUGGAAAUGUCAGACAUUGCUAAUGUAAUCCUCAAAGAAUUACCCAGAGUGUCUGUAGACCAAGAGACAGAUUUCCAGUGCUGUAGCACAGGAUGGCUUGUUCACUCUGUUCUUGGGGAAGCAGUGUGAGUUGUGAGUUUUCCCUCCAUGUCUACGCAGGGUCACCCUGUGAGCGACGUCUUUUACCUUUUUCUGCUUCUCUCAGUUACCCUAUGGCACAGAAACUGAAAACAUCAUAAAAAACCAGAAGAUGUGUUAUUUCCUUGGUUUUGUGACACUCUUCAUGAGUGACUUUCACCUUUGCUACAUGCAGAGAGCGUCUGCAAAUACACAUUCCAGUCUAGAUGAACCUAUCUGAGGGCAGCGGUGGAGACGCAGGCGUAGAGAACAGACUUGUGGGCUCAGUGUGCGGAGGAGACGGUGGGAUGAAUUGAGAGGGCAACACUGACGUGUACAUGACCAUGUGUAAAAUUAGGCAGCCAGCGGGAAUUUGCUGUAUGAUGCAGGGAGCUCAACCGCUGCUCUGGGACAGCCUGGAGGGAGGGGAUGGGCUGGGAGCUGGGAGUGGGGUU
rnacentral:lncRNA from 1 species